UGGCAUGUGGCUUAGUGGCAGAAUGCUUGCCUGGCAGGCAUAAAACCCUGGGUUUGAUCCUCGGCAUACCAA
rnacentral:tRNA from 1 species